rnacentral:misc_RNA from 1 species
AAUUGAACGAUAUUAACACAAAAUAAAAUGAGUAGUUGGUUAUAUUUAAAUACCUUUUAAGUAUCGAGGUUUGCAAGUAUAUCCGAUAUACGUGCAAAUGGAGUUUGUGUUAAAUUUAAAUUUUGUUAAAAAAUAAGAAGUUUUUAAGAAAUUAUAAGAUGGAAAGAUAACCAAAAGAACACGUAAUUAGAGGGCCCCUUAGAGAAAAGCAAAAGGGUAUUUUUGUAAAAAUGUGAAUGUAGUUGUUGAUAAGGGCGGAGUAAGUGGCGUCAUGUAACGGCAUAUUAUUGGUGGAUAAUUUAAUUAAGGCGCUAGAAAGGCGGGACUGUAGAGGAAACAAAAACCGGGUGCGGGUGGCCGGUGGCGCCGCCUAAUGAUUUUAAAACCGGCGGUCUUUGCAUAAUGACCAUUUUAUCGAGCAUGCCUAUCGAGAUUAUCUAGCACUUAUCGGAUAAGGAAUGUCUAAUCAUAGUAGAGCAGUGAUGGGAUAUUAUAUUAGGAGAGUAAAAUUAAACAUAAGAGCUAAUCAUUUGUUUAUUAAUGAGAAUAUUGAAUUAUUAUAUGUAUAUGUGCAGUCCACAUUCAGAGAAUUCCUAACAAAACAAAUAUUUAGAAUGUUACAAUAUGCUUUUAUAUAAUAGUUUUGAAAGGAGGUUAAUUUUUUACAAGCAAGUUGAUCUGUGCAAAAACUGCGUGGAGGGUAAGUCUAAUUCACUAAAUACAGCUUCCCAACUGCUAAAAUAUGGGUUCAAAUCAAUCACUGCCAAAACAAACGUUGCUCCAUUCCUUGCACCUAAUUAAUUUGCUCCCAAGGUGUCCAAAAGAGGAAAAUGAGUUCACCAGUGAUUCCUUUUUAAGCAAAUAUUAUGUAUAUUUUAGCCUUUUGAUUAUUUUUUUUUUGUUAAAAACCCAUCCAUCAAUCAGUUCCUAAUGAUAUUGCCAUUCAUUUUGCUCGUGGGACGACAUACACACAGAAUACAGAGAUCAAUCCCAUAAGGGUUUAGGGAUGACAGUAAAACAAGAUUAGGCAAAUAAUAGGAAUAAUCACAGAAUACACAAAAGCUUUGGAUAUUUUAUUAACUAUAAUACAUUGUCUUUCCACUUACUUGUAUUUAUAUCAGGCUGUGCAUUAUCGGACUGGAUAUGAAUGAAUUUUAGGUUUCAGAACUGGACCACCAUUAGCCGUGAAAAAAGCUUGACCUAAUAUUAGAAAGAGCUGCUUGCGUGAAUGAUAUAAAAUGCUAGUAGCAUGAGAUCUGGUCACUUUGCGAACAUUAGAUGAAAGAAUCGGUUUUCCAAUUGAUUCUCUAGAGAGACACACAUCAAGAUGCGUAAUUCAUUAAGCCAGUUUUACGUUAGGUUGGUAAAAAGAGAAUCUAGCACUAAAUUGGUACUAAAACGACCUGAAUGCCAUUCAAAACACAAAUUUUUACUCAAAAUUCCUGGUUUCAUGCUUUUGAAAAGGUUUAGGGCAUUCAAAUGAUUAAAGUUUUAGCUUUUUUCGGCUAUGAAUAGGAUGGAACGGUACUGAUAAGAAUAAUCGUCCAAAUUCCAGAAGGAAUGACCCACAGGUCACUGUAUAAUCUAAGAAGUGUGUGGAAGUAAAGUAAAAUUAAUGGUCAAAGAAAGAGAAUCAACUGUUACCUACCUCUCAAAUUAACCCUUGACUUCAACGCUCUUUCAGAUAUUCCUUGCCUGCAACUUCAAUGUAUGAAGAGACUACGACCCGUUUUGAGAUUUCUAUUACUAGAACUGAUAAAUCAAAAAUGAAACUGUCAGCCUCUCUCGAAAAGAAGAACACUCUCAGCCCCGAUAAAUCACCAUUUUUUUGUUCUUAG